AUUGAACGCUGGCGGCAGGCCUAACACAUGCAAGUCGAGCGGUAGCACAGAGAGCUUGCUCUCGGGUGACGAGCGGCGGACGGGUGAGUAAUGUCUGGGAAACUGCCUGAUGGAGGGGGAUAACUACUGGAAACGGUAGCUAAUACCGCAUAACGUCGCAAGACCAAAGUGGGGGACCUUCGGGCCUCAUGCCAUCAGAUGUGCCCAGAUGGGAUUAGCUAGUAGGUGGGGUAACGGCUCACCUAGGCGACGAUCCCUAGCUGGUCUGAGAGGAUGACCAGCCACACUGGAACUGAGACACGGUCCAGACUCCUACGGGAGGCAGCAGUGGGGAAUAUUGCACAAUGGGCGCAAGCCUGACGCAGCCAUGCCGCGUGUGUGAAGAAGGCCUUCGGGUUGUAAAGCACUUUCAGCGGGGAGGAAGGCGUUAAGGUUAAUAACCUUGGCGAUUGACGUUACCCGCAGAAGAAGCACCGACUAACUCCGUGCCAGCAGCCGCGGUAAUACGGAGGGUGCAAGCGUUAAUCGGAAUUACUGGGCGUAAAGCGCACGCAGGCGGUCUGUCAAGUCGGAUGUGAAAUCCCCGGGCUCAACCUGGGAACUGCAUUCGAAACUGGCAGGCUAGAGUCUUGUAGAGGGGGGUAGAAUUCCAGGUGUAGCGGUGAAAUGCGUAGAGAUCUGGAGGAAUACCGGUGGCGAAGGCGGCCCCCUGGACAAAGACUGACGCUCAGGUGCGAAAGCGUGGGGAGCAAACAGGAUUAGAUACCCUGGUAGUCCACGCCGUAAACGAUGUCGAUUUGGAGGUUGUGCCCUUGAGGCGUGGCUUCCGGAGCUAACGCGUUAAAUCGACCGCCUGGGGAGUACGGCCGCAAGGUUAAAACUCAAAUGAAUUGACGGGGGCCCGCACAAGCGGUGGAGCAUGUGGUUUAAUUCGAUGCAACGCGAAGAACCUUACCUGGUCUUGACAUCCACAGAACUUAGCAGAGAUGCUUUGGUGCCUUCGGGAACUGUGAGACAGGUGCUGCAUGGCUGUCGUCAGCUCGUGUUGUGAAAUGUUGGGUUAAGUCCCGCAACGAGCGCAACCCUUAUCCUUUGUUGCCAGCGGUCCGGCCGGGAACUCAAAGGAGACUGCCAGUGAUAAACUGGAGGAAGGUGGGGAUGACGUCAAGUCAUCAUGGCCCUUACGACCAGGGCUACACACGUGCUACAAUGGCAUAUACAAAGAGAAGCGACCUCGCGAGAGCAAGCGGACCUCAUAAAGUAUGUCGUAGUCCGGAUUGGAGUCUGCAACUCGACUCCAUGAAGUCGGAAUCGCUAGUAAUCGUAGAUCAGAAUGCUACGGUGAAUACGUUCCCGGGCCU
rnacentral:rRNA from 1 species